rnacentral:rRNA from 1 species
AUUGAACGCUGGCGGAAUGCUUUACACAUGCAAGUCGAACGGUAGAGGGGGCAACCCCUCGAGAGUGGCGAACGGGUGAGUAAUAUAUCGGAACGUGCCCAGUCGUGGGGGAUAACGUAGCGAAAGUUACGCUAAUACCGCAUACGAUCUAAGGAUGAAAACGGGGGAUCGCAAGACCUCGCGCGAUUGGAGCGGCCGAUAGCAGAUUAGGUAGUUGGUGGGGUAAAGGCUCACCAAGCCAACGAUCUGUAGCUGGUCUGAGAGGACGACCAGCCACACUGGAACUGAGACACGGUCCAGACUCCUACGGGAGGCAGCAGUGGGGAAUUUUGGACAAUGGACGCAAGUCUGAUCCAGCCAUUCCGCGUGCAGGAUGAAGGCCCUCGGGUUGUAAACUGCUUUUGUACGGAACGAAAAGGUCUCUCUUAAUACGGGGGACUCAUGACGGUACCGUAAGAAUAAGCACCGGCUAACUACGUGCCAGCAGCCGCCGUAA